rnacentral:rRNA from 1 species
CUACACAUGCAGUCGAACGGUAACAGGAAGCAGCUUGCUGCUUCGCUGACGAGUGGCGGACGGGUGAGUAAUGUCUGGGAAACUGCCUGAUGGAGGGGGAUAACUACUGGAAACGGUAGCUAAUACCGCAUAACGUCGCAAGACCAAAGAGGGGGACCUUCGGGCCUCUUGCCAUCGGAUGUGCCCAGAUGGGAUUAGCUAGUAGGUGGGGUAACGGCUCACCUAGGCGACGAUCCCUAGCUGGUCUGAGAGGAUGACCAGCCACACUGGAACUGAGACACGGUCCAGACUCCUACGGGAGGCAGCAGUGGGGAAUAUUGCACAAUGGGCGCAAGCCUGAUGCAGCCAUGCCGCGUGUAUGAAGAAGGCCUUCGGGUUGUAAAGUACUUUCAGCGGGGAGGAAGGCGAUAAGGUUAAUAACCUUGUCGAUUGACGUUACCCGCAGAAGAAGCACCGGCUAACUCCGUGCCAGCAGCCGCGGUAAUACGGAGGGUGCAAGCGUUAAUCGGAAUUACUGGGCGUAAAGCGCACGCAGGCGGUCUGUCAAGUCGGAUGUGAAAUCCCCGGGCUCAACCUGGGAACUGCAUUCGAAACUGGCAGGCUAGAGUCUUGUAGAGGGGGGUAGAAUUCCAGGUGUAGCGGUGAAAUGCGUAGAGAUCUGGAGGAAUACCGGUGGCGAAGGCGGCCCCCCUGGACAAAGACUGACGCUCAGGUGC